CUCCCAGUCCCUCCCAGUCCGUCCCAGUACACCCCAGUAUGGCUCCCAGUCCCUCCCAGUAUCACUCCCAUCCCAUCCCAGUCCCCCCCAUUCCCUCCCAGUAUGACUCCCACUCCCUCCCAGCCCCUCCCAGUAUAUCCCAGUAUGACUCCCAGUCCCUCCCAGUCCCUCCCAGUAUAUCCCAGUAUGACUCCCAUCCCUCCCAGUCCCUCCCAGUAUAUCCCAGUAUAACUCAGUCCCUCCCAGUAUAUCCCAGUAUGACUCCCAGUCCCUCCCAGUAUCACUCCCAUUCCCUCCCAUUCCCUCCCAGUCCCUCCCAGUCCCUCCCAGUAUAUCCCAGUAUGACUCCCAGUCCCUCCCAGUCCCUCUCAGUCCCUCCCAGUCCCUCCCGGUAUAUCCCAGUAUGGCUCCCAGUCCCUCCCAGUGCCC
ensembl:lncRNA